rnacentral:rRNA from 1 species
AACGAACGCUGGCGGCAUGCCUAACACAUGCAAGUCGAACGAGAGCUUCGGGACUGGUGGCUCACAGGUGCGUAACGCGUCGGAACCUGCCCUUAGGUUCCGAAUUACUCUCCGAAAGGGGUGCUAAUACCGGGAAAUGUAUUCGAACAAAAGAUUUAUCGCACUUGGAUAGGCCCGCGUUGGAUUAGCUAGUUGGGGGGGUAAAAGCCUACCAAGGCGACGAUCCGUAGCUGGUCUGAGAGGAUGAUCAGCCACACUGGGACUGAGACACGGUCCAGACUCCUACGGGAGGCAGCAGUGGGGAAUAUUGGACAAUGGGCGCAAGCCUGAUCCAGCCAUACCGCGUGGGUGAAGAAGGCCUUCGGGUUGUAAAGCCCUUUUGUUGGGAAAGAAAAGCAGCAGGUUAAUACCCCGCUGUUCUGACGGUACCCAAAGAAUAAGCACCGGCUAACUUCGUG